CACUGAGCUCUACUAUAUAUAUCUGGAGAUCGUGCUCCCAUAUCUCGUCAAACAAAAAAGUGUCCGCAAAAACAUGGCGGAUUUCGAGCUCCGCGUCCACUAUUUUCGGGCGAUUUACCACUGACCACAUAAUAUUUUUUAACGCCACCUGUUUUCGCACCCCCCUGGAUGCAAAAAGUAUACACUGUGUAAUUAUUAAACUAUCAAGUUUCACAACUUUAUAUUUUGUCAACAUGCCGCGUUUGCUCGGUUUAUGGUCGUCACAACUCCUUUGACAAAGACCGGGACUGUAUUCACACUGUCACUGGUAAGGAAAUAUUAUUUUGUGCUAUCAUUCGAGAAGUUUUUUUCUGCAAAUGACAAUGUAAAGCAAACGGUAGUUUAUGUUUUGUUCACGUGCAUGUGUCACCAGCUUUUCUCGACUAUGGCUUCUUUUCUGAGGUUUUUGCAUGCAGUUUGUUUCAUUCAAAUAUUAUAUUUCCAUUGUUCCUUGUGAUGUUCUCGUGUGCGUUUUUCCUACCUACUGUACAGUGUAUUUUAUAGGCCUGUUUGUAUUUAUAAAAGCAUAUUGUUAUUGAAUUUUUUCCCUUCACAUAUUUAAGCAUUCCUGAUGCAAAGAAGCAUCCAGAAUUGUACAGCAUAUGGGUUGAGUAUAUGAAUAAACACGCGCCAGUGAAGUCUGUUCCUGUGAAAAGUAGUUGUUUGUGUUCAGAUCACUUUAGUGCUGAUAUGUAUGAGAUAAAGGGCAAAAGCCAGAAAUUAGUAUUGAGACCGGAUGCUAAUACCAACAAUAGUUACACAACGGUUUGCUCAGGUCAUUGGUGCGAGUUAAUUAAAGUGUUAUAUGUAACAGUGUGCAUGAUUUACAUUCUUUGCUAAGGGACAAGUCAUUAUUAAUGCCGGGUAGGGGGCUGGUGGAAAUUUUUAUGAAUAGCAAAAAUUUUUCAUGACCCCUUAUUUUUCUAACAAACUAUCCCCCCCCCCUUAUUGAGGCAACAUAUUUCAUAGCCCCCCCCCUCCACCCCAAUUCUGAAUUCAAUUACUCUAAGUCAAUUUCGUAACCAUUUUUCCUGCCCUCAUACUCAGUUUACUUGCAGAUGUAAAGAAUAUUGUAAAUAUUGAAAAUAAAGAAUAUUGUAAAUAUUGAAAACGAUAGCCAAGUAGAUAAUUCAGACUUUAUACCUGAAAAGUUGUCGGUCCUCAAACAAAAAACCCACACAUCAGACCUACUUUUACUAAUUGAAAAAAAUACUUUUGUGUCUGGUGGAAGCAUUACUGUAUAUUGAAGAGAUGGCAGAAGAGACUGACUGUCAACAACAUGCAGAAACAGAACAUGCGAAAGAGGUCCACUGUGUUAAAAGCAGGACAACAACUGUCAAUUGAAUCUUGCAUUUGCAAAUGCAGUGCAUGACCCUUUAGACAAAUUCUUUGGUGAUGAUGAGGAUGACAAUUUCCAUAUACAGUGCCUAGAACAAAACUUUUAGGUUCAAUCUAUUCAGGGUUUUCAGUUUAGGCCGGCGAACGGCGAAUUUCGCCAGACUUUUUCAUUCAACCCCACCCAAAUUCGCCAGAGCUUUUACGUUUAUAUAUAUAUAAUCCAUGUUAAAUAUGUAAUCCAUGUACAGGAAUGAUUGUUAGGCUUUUCCCUUUCGCCAUAGCUUCAUCGCCAUUAGCCAGAGCCUCACACAAAACUGAAAGCCCUGUAUAUUGGGCAUUACUGUUCAAUGUAUGUAUAUUGAGGUUCAAUAUAUUGGGCAUUACUGUUCAAUGUAUGUAUACUGUAUAUAUCCAUCACUCUUUUGAUAUUGCAUGUUACAAACUAUUCCAUAGAUUUUAUUUCCCCCCCCCCCUUUAUGUUCAAAAUAUUUUCUGCCCCCCCCCCUUCACUGGUCAAAAAUUUUUUGUGGCCCCUCUAUAUUAAAAUUUUUUGUUACAUUUACUAGGAAUGGUAUGCUGGAUAUGUUUUAAAAGAGGGCAUACAAAAAUUGUGUGCCCAAAUAAAGCAAAAACCCACUCAGACAGUUGUUCAAGAACAACAUAAUUGGCACAAUUGCCAUGAUAUUAAAUUCAUUAAGUAACUUUGUGUAGGACUUAUAAUGUGUGAAUGUUGUGUGAGUGUUAAUUUUAAUUUAUUUAUUAGGCCAUAUUUAAUAAAUAUUCUUGGUUUGAAAAAUAUUUUAAGGGGGGGGGAUGUCCCCACUGCUGGUGCCACCACUGGAAAUAUUAGCUAAUUAUAGCCAGGCAUAGCUUCAAUAAAAUAUAUUGAAGUAAAUAUGACAUCAAAUAUCUCUUUUAUUAAAAGCGAUAGCUAUGUGCGUGUUUCACUUGUAUAAUUUGGGACAACCCGAAAAUACCCUUAUGCAAUUAACAAAAUAAAACAUGGGUAUGAGA
rnacentral:lncRNA from 1 species